UCGGAUCAAUCGUAUGCUCACAAUCAUGCCACGUGUUUACUUUUUAUUUAAAAAAAGAUAAAACUCCCAAAUAGAAGACCCACAUUGCAGAACGUGCUCAACCCACUUCUUGCAACCCGCCGUCGUCUUCUUCUCCGCUCCGAUCUGAUCGCCGCCGUUCUGUCCCUCUCGCCGCCGCUCUGGUUUGUUUUGUGUAUAAUCAAUCAUUGAAUUUCCAUUUUCAUGAAAUUCUCAGUAAUCCAGUGCUGCAGACACAGGCAACAUAACUGUGUAACUUCGUCUUCUUCAUUACCAUGGAUAUCACCUCUCAAUUUUACAAAACCUGUAAAACCUAAACUAGAUCCACCACCCGAAAUCACUCUCACUGAAACAAGGAAAAAGAGCAAAUAUAUCACUCAUGAUGUUGCUAUCAAUUUAAUCAAACGAGAGAAAGAUCCACAACAUGCUUUGAAAAUAUUUAACAUGAUAUCUGAACAAAAAGGUUUUAAUCACAACAAUGCUACGUAUGCGUCGAUUUUACAAAAGCUUGCUCAGUUUAAGAAGUUUCAAGCCGUUGAAAGAGUUUUACAUCAAAUGACUUAUGAAACUUGUAAAUUUCAUGAGGGUGUAUUUAUUAAUCUGAUGAAGCAUUACUCGAAAUGUUGUUUUCAUGAAAAAGUGUUGGAUACUUUUUUCGUUAUUCAAACAAUUGUUCGUGAAAAGCCUUCUCCGAAAGCUAUUAGCUCGUGUCUCAAUCUUUUGGUUGAUUCGAAUCGGGUUGAUUUGGCGCGGAAAUUGCUCUUGCAUGCCAAGAGGAGUUUAACUUAUAAGCCAAAUGUAUGUAUUUUCAAUAUUUUGGUGAAGUACCAUUGUAAAAACGGGGAUCUUGACUCUGCUUUUGAAGUUGUUAAAGAAAUGAGAAACUCUAAGUAUUCGUAUCCUAAUGUAAUUACUUACUCGACCUUGAUGGAUGGUCUCUGUCGAAAUGGGAAACUCAAAGAAGCUUUUGAACUUUUUGAGGAAAUGAUUUCGAAGGAUCGGAUUGUGCCUGAUCCCCUUACUUACAAUGUUUUGAUCAAUGGAUUUUGCCGCGGAGGGAAAGCUGAUCGCGCUAGGAAUGUAAUUGAAUUUAUGAAAAAUAAUGGUUGUUGUCCUAAUGUAUUCAAUUACUCUGCCCUAGUGGAUGGAUUAUGUAAAGCGGGGAAACCGCAAGAUGCAAAAGAGGUUUUGGCUGAGAUGAAGAGUUCUGGGUUGAAACCUGAUACAGUUACCUACACUUCUUUGAUAAAUUUCUUGUGUAGGAAUGGACAAGUCGAUGAGGCUAUUGAGUUGCUUAAAGAAAUGAAGGAAAAUGAAUGUGAGGCUGAUACUGUUACAUUCAAUGUGAUACUUGGAGGCUUGUGCAGAGAAGGUAGAUUUGAUGAGGCUUUGGAUAUGGUUGAGAAACUUCCGCACCAGGGUAUCUAUUUGAACAAAGGUAGUUAUAGGAUUGUCCUAAAUUCCUUAACGCAAAAAUGUGAGUUGAGGAAGGCGAAGAAAUUAUUAGGACUAAUGCUAAGUAGGGGGUUUGUACCUCAUUAUGCUACCUCAAAUGAAUUAUUGGUUUGUCUUUGUAAAGAAGGGAUGGCUGACGAUGCUGCUGCGGCUCUAUUUGACUUGGUGGGUAUGGGGUUCCAGCCACAAUUUGAUACUUGGGAACUUUUAAUUGAAUUAAUCUGUAGAGACAGAAAGUUAUUGUAUGUUUUUGAGCUACUUGAUGAAUUAGUGACAGCAAAUUCUUGAUAUCUGCAUUGCAAAAUGAUGUAUUCGGCUUCUCAAGCAGUUUCUGCUUGGAAUUCUUCACCUGAGGCGAAAGAUGAGCCAAAAGUGUAUUCAGAUAAAAUGCAAUGGAAUUGAUGAAUCACACACAAUGUGGUAACUAUAGACUCCUUGGAUGUAAGCUUAUUUUCUCAAUCUAAACAUUUUUUGAAUUGUGUUAGUUGCAACUUCUAUAGCCCAAUAUCACUCUCUGCAUCUCUGAAAUUAGUCAUGUAAAGGAUGCUUUGAGAUUGUGAUCAAUCUGUUAACAGAACUAAGAAUAAUAAAGAAAUUUUUAAUUUAGAAAGCAAUAGCAAUAUAGCAUAGCAUGCAUUGCUUGAGAGGGUCAAGUCCAGCUGAGCUAAAAGUUGAUUUCACGAAAUUCUAGAAAUAAAGCCUGCACAUGACAGAGGCUAAACUUCAUACUGAAUAUAAAAUCUUGCAUAAGCAUACUUCGGUUGCAAACUCAGAAUCAACUAUGUCUACGGGCAUUUGCAGCAUUUUUGUAGACCAUAGCUAUCGUGUUACAUAUGCAAUAAGAUCCAAUUCUGGCAUGAUGACAUACAUUUAACAGUUUCAUGUGACCAAUAAUGAAUACCCAGUGUGUUAUAUCUCUCAUAUAGUUCGUUUCAUCUAACAUUUAGAAUAACAAGAGAAGGAUAUAUCAUAACCAUGUUAUUCUUGGAGCUGCUACUAAAGCAUUCUGGAGUUUUUGCAAUGUUGUAUCAAAGCUUCUCUUAUUUUCUAAUGCAAAAAGGAGCUCGAAGCAAUGGUUGUGAUGCAUUUCCUCUCAUUCAGAUAUAAGUAAAAAUAUCUAAAUACACACUAAUUUGGGUUGGAGAUGGUAAUCAUCGCAAGCUUGUCAGUAUGGUUUGACACAAAGUGUGUAGACCUAUCGAAGCAGGAGGUCUAGGCAUUAUAUCCCCGUGAUAUGUAAAUGAAGCUGCUGCUCUGAAGCUUUGUUGGGGGAUGGUUACUUCAGACAAUCAAUGGAUUGAUUUACUCGAGGCUAGAGUUAUGAGAUCGCGUCCCAUCUCCUAUCACAUCGACUCUUCAAUUUUGGCUGGUUUAAAAGGCAUAUUUUCUGUCCUGGAUAACUGCCACUAGCAAGUUGGAACAGGAGGCUCAAUCAAUUUCUGGAGGGACACUUGGCUAUCCAAAGCCAUUGGUUGAUUCCUUCAAUCUUAUAGCAGCUGUGCAACACAUUCUGCUGUAAAAGGCGAAAUACUUCAUUCCCAUCGAGCAUUGGUACAUUCCUAAUUCUUUCAACCAGUGUUAGCAAAAAAUGUUUAAAUGUUGCUAUCGGUUUGCAAUGUGGCACUACACAUUGCGCAUCAACAACUUUUUGUCCUAGACCUUGAUGGGAUCAUCCUUUGCGACCUCAAGCGAAGGAUUCUAUGCAGAAAUUGCUUGAAAACCUUCUAAAAUUGAUUUUAUUUUUUAUAAAACAAAAGUUGUUUUUUGUAA